AAUUUUGGAAUCUUCUUUGUGGAAACCGUCAGGAAACACUGACAUGUGUUUUCACCCAGCAGCAGGCGAAAGGGCUUGGAUGUGGAAUAAGAAUAGCUGGCAGAUGAUUGAGCUAUAGGCUCCAGAGGAAAGGUACACUCCAGACCAGCUCCAGAGAACGAGAGAAGACUUCCCGGAGGAGACGGUGCUAAAUCCGAAGGGACCAUUAAGGAUGACUAGCGGGAUAUUGAUGAAGCUUAAGGUCUCAUGCCCAGGAUGCUUUCUUAUAGGCCAAAUGGUAUCACUCCAUUCUACUGGUGUCAGCUGCUUGAAAUAGUGUAGACACAGAGAAUUCUGGGACCCGUGUCGCUCAGAAACAAUGUCAAAGUCCUGGCUGAAGGUAUCUACAUUACCCACGAAUUGCUGUAUAUGAGUGGAAUGUACAAGCAUGGAUGCAACAGCAAGAGAACUAAAUUUGUUUUGUGCUUCAAA
rnacentral:lncRNA from 1 species